rnacentral:rRNA from 1 species
GUCGGUCUCCCCUUUCACAUUUUCCCUUCCCGUUCAUUCCCCUCCGAAUUAUUGCCUCGCCUCGCCUCGCCACCCCCGUCUCUGACGGCCAUGGCCCACCUCCAGCUCACGGCGGUCGCCGGCGGCCGCGACGACGACAUGGAGGAGGUGGCGCUGCUGGGGUCCUACGGCGAGGCGGAGGGGCCGAGCUCGCGGAAGGGGGAGGAGGAGGAGGAGGAGGCGGGCAUGCGGCGGGCCCAGGUGCGGGUCACGGGCAUGACGUGCUCCGCCUGCACGGGCGCCGUCGAGGCCGCCCUCUCCGCCCGCCGCGGCGUGCGCAGCGCAGCCGUGUCGCUGCUGCAGAACCGCGCCCACGUCGUGUUCGACCCCGCGCUCGCCAAGGAGGAAGACAUUGUAGAAGCAAUAGAAGAUGCUGGGUUUGAAGCAGAAAUCCUCCCAGACUCUGCUGUUUCUCAGCCAAAGUCACAGAAGGCUUUGUCAGGCCAAUUUAGGAUAGGGGGGAUGACUUGUGCUGCCUGUGUGAACUCAGUUGAAGGGAUCUUAAAGAAGUUGCCAGGUGUAAACAGAGCAGUUGUUGCAUUAGCGACCUCAUUAGGGGAAGUUGAGUACGAUCCAACUGCUAUUAGCAAAGAUGAUAUUGUUCAGGCUAUCGAGGAUGCUGGUUUUGAAGCUGCACUGGUACAAAGUAGUGAGCAAGAUAAGGCUUUAUUAGGUUUGAUAGGAUUGCAUACAGAGAGAGAUGUAAAUUUAUUGUAUGAUAUCCUGAGAAAAACAGAAGGCCUGCGUCAGUUUGAUGUAAAUUCUGUACGGGCAGAAGUUGAAAUAACAUUCGAUCCAGAAGUCGUUGGUUUGAGAUCGGUUGUGGAUAUUAUUGAGAUGGAAAGCAGUGGCAGACUGAAAGCCCAUGUACAGAAUCCAUAUGUACGGUCUUCUUCAAAUGACGCGCAAGAGGCUUCCAAAAUGCUUCACCUCCUUCGCUCCAGCUUAUUCCUAAGUAUUCCAGUGUUUUUUAUGCGCAUGGUAUGCCCUCACAUAUCUUUCAUUAACUCAAUCCUACUCAUGCACUGCGGACCAUUUCGUAUAGGAGAUUUGCUCAAAUGGAUGCUGGUGAGCGUAGUACAGUUUGUUGUUGGCAAACGUUUCUACAUAGCAGCUUAUAGGGCCCUUAGACAUGGUUCUACAAAUAUGGAUGUAUUGGUUGUUCUUGGCACAACUGCGACGUAUGUAUACUCAGUUUGCGCGCUUCUUUAUGGGGCAUUCACUGGAUUUCAUCCUCCGAUGUAUUUUGAGACAAGUGCAAUGAUAAUUACGUUUGUGCUAUUGGGGAAGUAUCUUGAGGUGCUUGCUAAAGGAAGGACAUCAGAUGCAAUUAAGAAGCUUGUAGAGCUGGUUCCUGCUACAGCUAUCUUGCUUCUGAAAUACAAAGAUGGAAAAUAUGCUGGAGAGAAGGAAAUUGAUGCAUUGUUGAUCCAACCUGGUGAUGUCUUAAAAGUGCUUCCUGGUUCAAAGAUUCCCGCUGAUGGUAUUGUCACUUGGGGUACAAGCCAUGUUGAUGAAAGUAUGGUAACUGGUGAAUCUGCGUCUAUCUGCAAGGAAGUAUCUAGUUCAGUAAUUGGAGGCACCAUGAACCUAAAUGGCAUCCUUCAUAUACAAGCGGCGAAAGUAGGAUCGGGGACAGUUUUGAGCCAGAUAAUAUCUCUUGUUGAGACUGCCCAGAUGUCUAAAGCACCUAUUCAGAAGUUCGCUGAUUAUGUGGCCGGCAUUUUUGUUCCUAUUGUCAUCACAUUGUCCUUACUGACAUUCUGUACAUGGUUUGUAUGUGGGACGCUGGGGGCAUAUCCAAAUUCAUGGGUUUCAGAAACUAGCAAUUGCUUUGUUUUCUCCCUCAUGUUCUCCAUCUCUGUUGUGGUAAUUGCCUGUCCAUGUGCUCUUGGUCUGGCGACACCAACUGCUGUUAUGGUAGCGACUGGAGUUGGUGCCAAUCAUGGAGUACUUGUAAAGGGUGGAGAUGCACUGGAGAGGGCUCAGAAUGUUAACUAUAUUAUAUUUGAUAAAACUGGGACACUGACACAAGGAAAGGCCACUGUAACAACGACGAAAGUGUUCUCAGGAAUGGAUGUUGGUGACUUCCUCACAUUGGUAGCAUCUGCGGAGGCAAGCAGUGAGCAUCCACUUGCAAAAGCUAUCUUGGAUUAUGCAUUUCAUUUCCAUUUCUUUGGCAAACUCUCCUCAUCAAAAGAUGACGUUAAGAAAAGAAAAGAAGAUGCAUUCUCUCAAUGGCUCUUGGAAGUUGCUGAUUUUUCUGCCUUGCCUGGCAAAGGAGUUCAAUGUUUGAUCAAUGGGAAGAUGAUUCUGGUGGGCAACCGUGCUUUGAUAUCUGAAAAUGGGGUUAACAUUCCUGAAGAGGCUGAAAGUUUCUUGGUAGACAUGGAAUUGAGCGCAAAGACAGGCAUUCUUGUAGCAUAUGAUGGCGACUUCAUUGGAUUAAUGGGGGUAACCGAUCCCUUGAAAAGGGAGGCUGCUGUAGUUAUACAAGGCCUAAAAAAGAUGGGCAUUUAUCCAGUUAUGGUGACAGGGGACAAUUGGAGGACUGCACUGGCGGUUGCAAAGGAGAUUGGAAUUGAAGAUGUGAGAGCAGAGGUUAUGCCUGCCGGAAAAGCCGACGUAAUCCGCUCUUUCCAGAAGGAUGGGAGCGUGGUUGCAAUGGUUGGAGAUGGGAUCAAUGAUUCCCCUGCCCUAGCAGCACCGACGUCGGAAUGGCCAUCGGUGCAGGGACUGACAUCGCCAUCGAGGCAGCAGACUAUGUGCUGGUGCGGAAUAACCUUGAAGACGUCAUCACGGCGAUUGACCUCUCAAGGAAGACGUUCAGUCGAAUCCGGUGGAACUACUUCUUUGCCAUGGCGUAUAACAUCGUUGCCAUCCCUGUGGCUGCCGGCGCACUCUUCCCCUUCACCGGCCUGCAGAUGCCGCCGUGGCUGGCUGGCGCUUGCAUGGCCUUCUCGUCUGUCAGUGUAGUAUGUUCCUCGCUGCUGCUGAGGAGAUAUAGAAAACCAAGGCUUACCACCGUCUUGCAGAUAACUGUAGAGUGAUUCCAAGUUGGAACCUAACGCGCCUGUUUUUGUGUGACAUUUCUACUUGAAAGAAAUGGAUAUGGCAUCUGUUUGUAACUCACUGAUGAUACAGUAUUUGAAACCUGUGCUUGUAAAUAGCAUAUAUAUACACAGAUGCAGAUUGUUGUAAUGCAAGAUUUCCAG